UGAAACUAUACACGAAUUAGUCAUCAAGAAUUGAUAGGACCAAGGUGGACCUAAGGUGGCAAUUGACAAUGUUAUUGAAAAUGAUCCAAUUGCUCUCUGCAUUAAUCUCAGAUAGUUACGACAGACGAACUUACAUCACAGUUCUUGAUCUUAAGAAGACUAUGGAGCGACACAUGUGUUUAUCUUUUGUAAGGGAAAACGUCCGGAAGGUAAUAAAUUGCAAGCACAUUGGAUGAAAUAUCAUCUUUUUUACAACAUAUUAAACUUCUUUGUAACAAUGGAAAUGAUGUGAUAUAUGGUGUUAUAAAUUCAGCUGAAUUAUAUUUUAUGACGAAACGUCAAAUGUAAAAUAAAUUGGCAAGAAGUUAAUAUCUUGAAACAAUUUAC